CUUCAGCGAACCGAGCAGCACCGGGCGGUCGGAGUCCCGGUCCUGGCCGUAGGUGGCCAGCAGCGCCUGGGCCUC
rnacentral:antisense_RNA from 1 species